UGCAUGUCUCAGUACAAGCCUCAUUAAGGUGAAACCGCGAAUGGCUCAUUAAAUCAGUUAUGGUUCCUUGGAUCUUACCCACACUUACAUGGAUAACUGUGGUAAUUCUAGAGCUAAUACAUGAACCUCGUGCCCCGACCAGUGAUGGAAGGGGCGCUUUUAUUAGAACAAAACCAAUCGGUCGGCUCGUCCGUCCGUUGCCUUGGUGACUCUGAAUAACUUUGGGCUGAUCGCACGGUCCCAGCACCGGCGACGCAUCUUUCAAAUGUCUGCCUUAUCAACUUUCGAUGGUAGGUUCUGCGCCUACCAUGGUUGUAACGGGUGACGGGGAAUCAGGGUUCGAUUCCGGAGAGGGAGCCUGAGAAACGGCUACCACAUCCAAGGAAGGCAGCAGGCGCGCAAAUUACCCACUCCCGGCACGGGGAGGUAGUGACGAAAAAUAACGAUACGGGACUCAUCCGAGGCCCCGUAAUCGGAAUGAGAACACUUUAAAUCCUUUAACGAGGAUCUAUUGGAGGGCAAAGUCUGGUGCCAGCAACCGCGGUAAUUCCAGCUCCAAUAGCGUAUAUUAAAGUUGUUGCGGUUAAAAAGCUCGUAGUCGGAGGUGUGUCUCGGACGGUCGGUUCGCCGCUUGUCGGUGCUCAACUGGCCGGUCCGGACGUCCUGCCGGUGGGGCUGUAAAAGGCUCCGUUAUCCUUCUUUGGUCCUCUUCAUUGAGUGCCUUGGUGGGCCGGCACGUUUACUUUGAACAAAUUAGAGUGCUCAAAGCAGGCCGUUGGUCGCCUGAAUACUGUGUGCAUGGAAUAAUGGAAUAGGACCUCGGUUCCAUUUUGUUGGUUUUCAGAACUUGAGGUAAUGAUUAAUAGGGACGGACGGGGGCAUUCGUAUUGCGACGU
rnacentral:rRNA from 1 species